rnacentral:rRNA from 1 species
UACGGGGGGGGCAAGCGUUGUUCGGAAUUACUGGGCGUAAAGGGCUCGUAGGCGGCCAACUAAGUCGGAUGUGAAAUCCCCAGGCUUAACCGGGGAACUGCGUCUGAUACUGGAUGGCUCGAGUUUGGGAGAGGGAUGCGGAAUUCCAGGUGUAGCGGUGAAAUGCGUAGAUAUCUGGAGGAACACCGGUGGCGAAGGCGGCUCUCUGGGACGGUACUGACGCUGAGACGCGAAAGCGUGGGGAGCGAACAGG